CCUACGGGUGGCAGCAGUGAGGAAUAUUUGUCAAUGGGCGGGAGCCUGAACCAGCCAAGUCGCGUGAGGGAUGACGGCACUAUGGGUUGUAAACCUCUUUUGCCGGGGCGCACCGUGCCGCACGUGUGCGGUUUGGAGUGUACCCGGCGAAAAAGCAUCGGCUAACUCCGUGCCAGCAGCCGCGGUACUAAGGAGGAUGCGAGCGUUAUCCGGAUUUAUUGGGUUUAAAGGGUUCGUAGUCGGACGCUUAAGUCAGCGGUAAAAGUGCGGGGCUCAACCUCGUCGAGCCGUUGACACUGGGUGCCGUGAGUGGGCGAGAAGUACGCGGAAGGCGUGGUGUAGCGGUGAAAUGCAGAGAUAUCACGCAGAACUCCGAUGGCGAAGGCAGCGUACCGGCGCCCAACUGACGCUGAAGCACGAAGGCGUGGGUAUCGAACAGGAUUAGAUACCCGAGGAGUC
rnacentral:rRNA from 1 species